GUAAGAUGGCUGAUGCUAUGG
rnacentral:miRNA from 1 species